CAAAAAUAACUCUUUUGGUUUUAUUUUAGGACCAUUACGUAAUUUACCCUGUAAGUAUAUUUACAUUAUGAUAGUAUUUGUUAUACUGAAUUUAAUUUAUGCAACGUUUUAAAAAAUUGUGUCUGUUGUUUUCCCCUUCACAUUAAAUUAAAGAGAAUUUAGGAGGGGGAGUGUGCUUAUUUGUCUCAAUCUCACAAUACAAAUAAUGUUGAUAAAUAGACUUUCUUUUUGCAACGUAUAAUUUAUUUUCUUUUGAUUUUGGGGUGAAACAUUGAACCGGAUGCUAUGUUUCUGUGAGUGGUUGUGUUUUCAAGAUAUGAAUGCUGUAUACGUCUGAAAUUAAUCUCUGGGUUUGGGGGUUGGGAUCUCUUUUUAAUAUUGAAAUCAAUUAUUUAUUAGUGAAAUUUCUAACAAUUUGUAUAAAACUUGGCUUAGAGAUGAGUUAAAGUGGAGACGUGGUCAUAAAUUGUAAUAUACAAGAAAAGCUUUGACUAACUUAUACUAUAAUAUUAUGAUUACAGUAUAUUGAUUACUGACAGACGUUUUGGUUUUAGUGUAGUCUACGUUCCCUUCCUAGGGCAGCAAGCCAGAGAAAAGAGAUGUUCUCAUUCCAGCCCUGCCUUAUUAAACAUGAGAGAAAUGCUCAUAUCUGUUUCCUGGACUUAAAUCCUGAAUGAAUAUUUAAAACGGUUCAUUACUACCUGUAUUCCAGGUGUGUUUUAACUAAGCCGUCAGUACGAAUCACCCAAAGUCAUUUUAAUCUAAAUGCAGCAGAUGAUGUUGAACACAUUUAAUGUUUGGUUCCCUUCUGUGCUGACAAAGUGAUGGAUAGGGCUGCUUUUUAACACUAGAUGUGUAUAUUUUUUUAUUUUUACUGUAUUGAAAAGUGUUUGUGUUGUAGAGCCGUGAGCAGUUUACAGGUUUCACCGAGAUUAUGUUGACCAGUAGUUGUUACUGUACGUUGUGUAUGACGACACAUUAGUGUAUCCAGUCCAGCCCUGCAGAACCCACACAAAUGUGUGCAUUGGUUUGGCCUAUUUUUAAUACAGCCAUAUCAAUAUAUUUUGGAUGUUCUAGUACUGGGACAGGACAAAUGCAUACAUUUGGUGUCCUGGGAAUUGAAAUUGAAUUA